UUUCAGAUGACUGAUCUUCCUGCUGAAUGCAAAAGUGGAGGUACUUAAGCCCACAGGAAUGGGGAAGACUUUAAAGGCCUCACACAAUGAGGCAAUUUAUAAUUUCAAAGCAGGUGUUGCAGAAGAGACAUAGAAAUUAUUGGCAGAAUCCACACAUUUUUGGUUGGUUCCUCCUCUCCUGGUACUUGAAAGCUACUCCAGAAUUAGUUCCGAUGAAGUCUAGGAUCAGUCUUUUAAAUUAUAGUCUGUACCAGGUCAAGAUUAAAUGAUUAUUUGGACACAUACUUGCUGGGCAGUCUUCUCCCCUUCCUUCUUAUUGAGAUUAUUAAAGUCUGUAAGUAUUAUCAUCUCCCAGUGAUAAUUCACAUAAUCAGUUUAAUAAUAUCACUGAGCAAGCAUUCCUUCCUCAGCAUUGUAAAUCCAGAGCUAUCAGAUCCUGCUCUGAAAGACAUCUGCGUUGGCAAGAUCUGGGUUUAUUCUACACCGAGUUUCUCCUCACUUCAACAAUAUAAUUUUAUUUAAACAUAACCAAAUCCUGAGAGAACCAACGGUCUUCAUGUUGUCUGUAAUUCUCAGUUAUAUGAUGUUUUAUACAGUGCGAAUACAUAAAAGCUGAAAAUGAUAUAAUUUUAAAUGAAGGCUUUGGAACUUCAUACCAAUGAGACUAAGUUGAUAAUACCUUCUCUGGGGUACGGUCUGAGUCUCUUCUAAAAUAUUCUUGAGCUACUUAUGCUAUAAAUGGAAUGGAGUAACAUCAUUAAUAUUUACCCUCAGCAAUAGUAUUUUUACCUUUUAAAUUCUUUAUAAAUAUAUGACACAGAAAUCUGUUCUUACUCCUAAGUAGGCACUUCCAUUUAUUCUAAUAUUUUUCCACAUGUGAGUUAGGGGGUUUAGGUGACCUGGACAAGGCUAUGCCAAGACUGCCACUCAGGAACACUUGAUUCUUUGUUCAUUGCUUAAAUAAAUAAACCAAAAAGUGCA
rnacentral:lncRNA from 1 species